rnacentral:rRNA from 1 species
UACGAAGGGGGCUAGCGUUGUUCGGAAUUACUGGGCGUAAAGGGCGCGUAGGCGGCCGAUUAAGUUAGGUGUGAAAGUCCUGGGCUCAACCUGGGGACUGCACUUAAUACUGAUUGGCUUGAAUUCGGGAGAGGAUAGCGGAAUUCCCAGUGUAGAGGUGAAAUUCGUAGAUAUUGGGAAGAACACCGGUGGCGAAGGCGGCUAUCUGGACCGACAUUGACGCUGAGGCGCGAAAGCGUGGGGAGCAAAC